rnacentral:rRNA from 1 species
ACUCGACUCCAUGAAGUCGGAAUCGCUAGUAAUCGUGGAUCAGAAUGCCACGGUGAAUACGUUCCCGGGCCUUGUACACACCGCCCGUCACACCAUGGGAGUGGGUUGCAAAAGAAGUAGGUAGCUUAACCUUCGGGAGGGCGCUUACCACUUUGUGAUUCAUGACUGGGGUGAAGUCGUAACAAGGUAACCGUAGGGGAACCUGCGGUUG